rnacentral:other from 1 species
UACAAGCUGCGUUGUGCGUUGACUGAUAAAGUUUUAACCUUUAAGCUGAAAUAGGGAGUUUUAUAUCGGGCUUUGAAUGUCAUGCCUCCUUGGCUGAGGACGACAUGAACAGUUCUGCAAACACCCACUUUAUGGAGUGUGUGGUAUUAAAACUCUAUUAUGUUUACGGCAAUUGCGGCCUUUAU